AGAGCCACUGGGUUGCAUCUGUCUGCUUCUCUCUCUGUGUGUGUGUGUGUGUGUGUGCGUGUGCGUCGUGUGCGUGUGUGCGUGCCUGAGUGAGUGCGCGCAGGCAAGCGAUCGAGCCAGUGAGUGAGCAAGCGAGAGAGAGAGAAAGGGAAAAAGAAAGCAAUCGAGAGGGAGAGAGCGAAUCGGAGUGCGAGUGCAAGACAAAGCUAUGAAAUUAAUCCGAGCUAUAUGCCUCCUGCUUCUUUGUCCAGCUUUGAGCCUCAACACUAGACAAGGCUAUGAGGGGCUGGAGCAGAAGCUGAAGGAGGUCUUCACAGAGCGGACUGGCAUCCUGCGUCAACUCUCCAAGACUACAAAGGAACUGGACAGCAUAAAAGGCAACCUUCAGACACUGAAAAAUGAUGACUCCGUGACCAAGAAGGAUGUCCAGAGAAUCCUGGAACUCAGCCACAAGCAGAGGGAAGAGAUGAAGUCCCUCCAGACUGCAUUGCAGAAGCAGCUGGACGAGGCAACGGAAGAAGCCGAGAAACAGCAGGCCACAAUCAAGUUUCUCAAGAUGGAGAUGGAGAAAAAGACCAAAACUAUCAAGGACCUGCAACAGGAGAACAAGAGCUUGAAAAAUAAACUGCUAUCUGGCAACAAGCUGUGUGAUGUCCAUGCAGAAGAGUCCAAAAAAAUCCAGGCUCAACUGAAAGAGCUGCGGUACGGGAAAAAGGAUUUAAUUUUCAAGGGACAGCAGCUAAUGGAUCUGGAGCACAAGUUAACCAUUGCCAAAGAAGAGUUGGAAAAGGCCGCACUGGACAAGGAGUCUCAGUUGAAGGCACUGAAGGACACAGUGCACAUCUGCUUCUCUGCUGUUCUGCACAACCAGCACACCAGCAGCCACAGGUUCCCCGCCACCCCCACCCAUUUGUUCAGAUACUCCUCACUCGUCAACAGCUCCAGAGUCACCUUUCAGCAGCCACAUGCCAAGGAUAUCCCGAAGGUUCAGAGAAUCAUCAUGGCCAGUAAAUCGCCUGCGAACAUUGGGGUAAUGAGGAGAGAAAGUAAUCCCGGAGUCAAGGACUGCCAGAUGGAAAAGAUUGGCGGGGAUUGCUUCCAAAACCAGACGGAGACAGAAUCCUCUCCCGACAGUAAAAAGCUGCUUGAACAGCAGCUUCUGGAAACAGAAGAGCACUAACCUGCUCGAAUUCAAUAAGUCAGCAGCUCUGGACGUUAUGUUUACCCCGGACCAGGCCCUGAUCAUCCAGGUCUUGAAAAGAGGAAGUGGAGGCGAAAGAGAGCAAAGGACCGCAGCGCAGAUUGGAAAAUCUAAUGCAAAGCCUUCCGAUGACAGGGAGGAUGUAGAGGGAGGCAGCAAAAACACAAAACUACACAAAAACAACUGAAUGGAUGGGAUAUCAAUGGAGAUGCAUAAAAUCUG